CCCGGCCCACUUUUAAUUUUUUUAGCUUUUAAAUGUUUUGUAGAGACGGGUGUCUCACUGUGUUGCUCAGGCUGGUCUCAAAUUCCUGGGCUCAAGUGAUCCUCCCACCUCGGGUUCCCAAAGUGCUGGGAUGACAGGCGUGAGCCCCAGGCCCAGCUGAGUUUGCCACUUUCUAAAUGAGGCUGUGUGCUGUGCAGUAUUAAGAGUUUCCAUCCCUUUGAUUUUUCACUGGGAAAAUCUAGAAAUUGUGAGCUCUGGGGAUGAGGUGAACUUGGCAUGGAGCUCCGCCAGCCCCUACAGGAGGCACCCAGAUGCCAGACUCUGCUUCCCAUGCCUGUGCAGACACAAAGCUGUGGUUCACGGGGAGCUGCUUUUCACGCGUUUGCGCCUUCAAACGUGGGGAGUGUUGUUAGCUCGGAUUUAUUCAUUCUCGAACAAAUAUCUAUUAAACAUCCCCCAAGCUGAGGAAACUGAGAUUCAAGGAGUUGGGAGACCUCACCCACAGUCACGUGGAUCCUAACUGGCUGAGAUGAGUUUUGGGCUCCUGCUGGGCUGUUGGGACCCAGAGGUCCGCGACAAGGUCAUCCAGGUCUCAGGUUGGUCCCUGUACCUUUAUCUCAUCCCCCUCCUCUGCAUUCCCGAAACCCUUCCCAGGACAGCUCCCCUGCCCACCCCGCCCUUGCCCUCACCUUUUCCAUGAGGGACUCCACAGCAUGGCGGGUCACCCAGCAGCGGCCCCCGGACACCUCUCCCUCCUGGAUGAUGUCCCCUCUCUGGCUCCAGGCCUCAUACUCCUCCUGGCUCAAGUACUCUGCAGGUGACAUUGGACGGGGCCAUCAUAUACCAGCUGUGUGGGGGUCUGGGGGAGUCCCAUGGUAAACACCCCUGUCCCCGUGAACCCCGCCAGCACUGGGAGGAGCUCUUCUUAGGGUGUCCACUUUACAAACCUGACCCUGCACGCCCCGCUCUGUGCCCUGCACCUCCAUCCUGAACUAUCUGGACACAGCAGGUGAGUGUGGGAAUGUGCGUGGUGGGGGAGGGAAGGAGGAGGGAGGAAGGGGAGGAGGGAGGGAGGGAAGGUGGGAGGGGUAGAGGGAUUCCCAGGCAACAGCAUACCUGCCAGGCACUUCUUAAACCCUUGGAGGAGGCACAGUUUCUCCCUCAGGAUCUUCCCAACCGCCCUGGGCACGAAGAGCACAGGCCGGGGCCGGGCGGGUCGAUGGGGCCGCACCAGGGUAUAGGGCACCAGGGUGAGGCAGCUCUCGGCCCAGAAGCACGUGCUGGAGCCUGUGGAGGAGAGGAUCCUGAGGGCUGGAGUGCAAUGGCGACACCUCAGCUCACUGCCACUUCUGCCUCCCGGGUUCAGGCGAUUUUCCUGCCUCAGCCUCCCGAGUAUCUGGGAUUACAGGUGUGCGCCACCACACCCAGCCCCAUGAUUCUUGAAGACCAGAUCCUGGCCUAAAUGAGUGGCAUCCCCCUGCCCCAGCUGACCAACUAGCAGCAGCUCCCAAAGCCCCUCACCCGCUUGGAGCCAGCGGCCCCUGUGCCAGCUCACCAGGCCUCACCCUCCAUCCUGCUGGGGUCCAACUGGCCCCUGUCAAAGGACAAACGCAGAGGGCUGGCCUUGGCUUUGUCCAUACUGACGAUGCGGACCAGCUUCUGUGGUCCCCCAGAAGAUGGCUAAAGGAGGGACGGAGAAAGGAUGAGGAGGAGCUGUUGAAGCCAUCAACAGGAAUGGGAAUUCAGGGGAGAUGAUUGGCACUAGGGCGACCUGGGAGUGAUGCAGAGGCGCAGAUGCUCUGAGAACAGCCUGAGUGCCUCCUGCCACCCUGCCAGCACCGAGCCCCUCUUCCAGCCCACCCCAGUGGGGUCCAGGCCCCUCCCUGGAGCCUCACCUUGCGGGUCACGGUGCACUGCUGAGUCAUGUCCUGGAUGAGGGCUAUGAGCUGCUGCUGAGCCCUGCAGAGACCAGCAGAGGCCCUGACCCAGCUGCCUCCUGCCAGUGACCGCCCAGAGCAGCCCUGUCAAGGGGCCUCAUGCAAAGACCCCGGUCAGAAGCGCCGCAUGGCAGCAGCCACCACGGGUGACAUGCUGGGUUCUGCACGGCACGACUCUCAUCUAUAAAUGAGCAGAACGCUUUACGUCAGCCCAGGAAAGAGCAGGGGCCCAGCCCAGAGUGGAUCUGCAUCGUCUGGGGGAGGUGAAGUCUGCCUGGGUCACCCCACCCGCUGCCACUGUCCCCAUGAGGAGCCCGGGGGACAGGAGGGGCCUCGCACGGCUCACCAUCACGAUCUGGGUGCCCGGGCGCAAGGCCAUCUGGUCCGCCGCCGAGCCCGGGGUGACCCGGUGGAUGAAGAUGCCCGUGAGGUUCCCGCCGAUGAUGCUGAUCUGCUCCAGCAAUGCAUCCCCCUGGAACGCCAGCAUGGUGACCUGGCUCAGGAUCCUGCGGGCUGGCCUCCGCCGCAUGAGGACGCCGCUGCAGGCCGGGAGACGACCGACUUGUGCACUGCCCAGAGCGGGAGAGCCGGCAAGGCCACCUCCCCAUUGCUUCCCUCUGGCCCCAGUGUUCUGGAAUUCUCCUCCCCCUCCAUGGCCCCAUGUGCUUGGAAAGGCUGUUGCCUCCCAUUGGUAAUAGGACACUCACCCUCUGCUCUCCCACUCCCUGGCCCUGGUUCCCCAGCCAGCCUCGGAGGAUUCCCACCUGCUGCUUACCUCUCCGAGACAUCAAGGCUUCCAGGGGAGACUGGCUGCAGGCUGCUUUCCAGCUGCGGAAGGUCUGGGAGGAAGCCAAGAGCUCACAGAUCUUGGUCACCCCACUGCUGAUGGGGCGUCCUGUAACCUCCUGUAACCUCAGCCCCUUCUCCCUCAGCCUCAGGCCCCACUGCCUGUUCCAUCCUUUGUGCUGAGGCUGAACUUUCUCUUCCUCCACCCCUUCCUCAAUGCUUGGGACCCUAAUUUCAUCUUUCCUACAAUCACUGUAACUAGUUAGGAGCUGCAAGUGGGAGGGUCUGACCACCACAUGCUAUUUUGUGAUAUUUGAAUGAGUUGCCAACAUUUGAAAGACAGGGAGGUUUCACCUAAAAUCUGGAUUUCUGGCUUCACUUGAAAAAAUAUCUGCUGUAACCCUGGGGCUGCAUUUCCGCACUGAUCUGUAUUUCUGCAUGGACCUGCAUUUCAGGACUGGCCUGCAUUACUGCAUUGACCUCCAUGUCUGCAUGGGCCUGCACUGCACUGGCC
rnacentral:lncRNA from 1 species